rnacentral:rRNA from 1 species
CACGUAGUUAGCCGUGGCUUUCUAAUGAGGUACCGUCAAGGUACAAGCAGUUACUCUUGUACUUGUUCUUCCCUCACAACAGAGCUUUACGAUCCGAAAACCUUCUUCACUCACGCGGCAUUGCACCAUCAGACUUUCGUCCAUUGUGGAUGAUUCCCUACUGCUGCCUCCCGUAGGAGUCUGGGCCGUGCCUCAGUCCCAGUGUGGCCGAUCACCCUCUCAGGUCGGCUACGCAUCGUCGCCUUGGUAAGCCGUUACCUUACCAACUAGCUAAUGCGCCGCGGGCCCAUCCUAUAGCGACAGCCGAAGCCGUCUUUCAAAACUCUUUCAUGCGAAAGAAUUGAUUAUUCGGUAUUAGCCCCGAUUUCCCGGAGUUAUCCCCAACUACAGGGCAGGUUGCCCACGUGUUACUCACCCAUUCCGCCGCUAACAGAGAGAGGAGCAAGCUCCUCGUCUGUUCGCUCGACUUGCAUGUAUUAGGCAUGCCGCCAGCGUUCU